AUUGAACGCUGACGGCAUGCCUUACACAUGCAAGUCGAACGGCAGCACGGGUGCUUGCACCUGGUGGCGAGUGGCGAACGGGUGAGUAAUAUAUCGGAACGUGCCCUAGAGUGGGGGAUAACGUAGCGAAAGUUACGCUAAUACCGCAUACGACCUACGGAUGAAAGUGGGGAUCGCAAGACCUCAUGCUCAUGGAGCGGCCGAUAUCUGAUUAGCUAGUUGGUGGGGUAAAAGCCUACCAAGGCGACGAUCAGUAGCUGGUCUGAGAGGACGACCAGCCACACUGGGACUGAGACACGGCCCAGACUCCUACGGGAGGCAGCAGUGGGGAAUUUUGGACAAUGGGGGCAACCCUGAUCCAGCAAUGCCGCGUGUGUGAAGAAGGCCUUCGGGUUGUAAAGCACUUUUGUCAGGAACGAAACGGUGGAGGCUAAUACCUUCUGCUAAUGACGGUACCUGAAGAAUAAGCACCGGCUAACUACGUGCCAGCCGCCGCGGUAA
rnacentral:rRNA from 1 species